rnacentral:rRNA from 1 species
AAUAGAUACCCUGGUAGUCCACGCCGUAAACGAUGAGUGCUAGGUGUUAGGGGGUCCAACCCUUAGUGCUGAAGUUAACACAUUAAGCACUCCGCCUGGGGAGUACGACCGCAAGGUUGAAACUCAAAGGAAUUGACGGGGGCCCGCACAAGCAGUGGAGCAUGUGGUUUAAUUCGAAGCAACGCGAAGAACCUUACCAGGUCUUGACAUCCUCUGACAACCCUAGAGAUAGGGCGUUCCCCUUCGGGGGACAGAGUGACAGGUGGUGCAUGGUUGUCGUCAGCUCGUGUCGUGAGAUGUUGGGUUAAGUCCCGCAACGAGCGCAACCCUUGAUGUUAGUUGCCAGCAUUUAGUUGGGCACUCUAACGUGACUGCCGGUGACAAACCGGAGGAAGGUGGGGAUGACGUCAAAUCAUCAUGCCCCUUAUGACCUGGGCUACACACGUGCUACAAUGGGCGGUACAAAGGGCAGCGAAACCGCGAGGUGGAGCUAAUCCCAUAAAGCCGCUCUCAGUUCGGAUUGCAGGCUGC